rnacentral:rRNA from 1 species
UCCGUAGGUGAACCUGGGAAGGGAUCAUUAUUGAG